UACGUAGGGGGCAAGCGUUGUCCGGAUUUAUUGGGCGUAAAGAGCGUGUAGGCGGUUAGGUAGGUCCGUUGUGAAAACUCGAGGCUCAACCUCGAGACGCCGAUGGAAACCAUCUGACUAGAGUCCGGAAGAGGAGAGUGGAAUUCCUGGUGGUAGCGGUGAAAUGCGCAGAUAUCAGGAAGAACACCCGUGGCUAAGGCGGCUCUCUAGUACGGUACUGACGCUGAGACGCGAAAGCGUGGGGAGCGAACAGG
rnacentral:rRNA from 1 species